UACGUAGGGGGCUAGCGUUGUCCGGAAUCAUUGGGCGUAAAGCGCGUGUAGGCGGCCCGGUAAGUCCGCUGUGAAAGUCGGGGGCUCAACCCUCGGAUGCCGGUGGAUACUGUCGGGCUCGAGUACUGGAGAGGGUCGUGGAAUUCCCGGUGUAGCGGUGAAAUGCGUAGAGAUCGGGAGGAACACCAGAGGCGAAGGCGGCGACCUGGACAGUUACUGACACUCAACUACGAAAGCGUGGGGAGCAAACAGG
rnacentral:rRNA from 1 species